ACGAAACACCGUCUCCAUCCCUGCGCCGGGACUGGAGAGGCUUACUCUCUCCUGCUGAUGCUGCAGCUGCUGGGAUGCCAGGAGGGGAACCGCCUGAGGAAAGUGCUGAGAGAAAAGAGAGGGAGGGAUACAGACCGGGCCCAGAUGAGUUUGCGCUGAAUCUGAAGUCGGUAGGUCCCUGGACAUUUCUAUUAUGGAAGCCAAGAAGAACCUCCCCUCCACCCUCUGAAGCCAGUGUGGAUCGGGUUUCUGGCACUUGCAGUGUCUGCACGGUCUCCUCUCCUUCCUUCUCCAUUGCCCUUUCUCACCCGCCUGGGCCCGCCACCCUGAACUACCGGGACACAUGCUGUUCCUGCCUCCAGGCGUGCACUUCUUCCUGCAGCCUCCUCCCCUACUAACUCCUUCUUGAACUUGAUAGCUCCAUUGUCACUUUCGAGUCUUCCCUAAACCACUCCCUUCCCAAAUAAAACUGUUUCAUGUAUUUUUCUUUCA
rnacentral:lncRNA from 1 species